UCUCUCAUUUUGUGUUUUCUCCUUCAAUUAUUACCAUUCGUCAUGUUUUUACAGCCAUCUCUUUUCCUUCUCUUAAUCAACCACCAAUAUUACUCUCAAGAAUACCAAUCAAUCUAUUAUCAAACCCCAAUAGAUUCUUGUUCAUCUUUAAAAAUCAAGUAGACAAAAGCACAUCUAAAGGGAAACUUUAGUCCACUGGAUAAAUACGAAAACAAUUCUGACGGAUCUUCAUUAUGCGAUGAUGAACUCUAGUGAAUGGGGUAGAAAAUUCAAGAACCAUUGUGGCUAAUUAUAUCCAAGUGUUAAUGAAAAGAUGCAGUUAAGCUAGACUUAGCUUGUAUACGAUUUUUCAUUUGUAUUAACAUUUUAUUUGUAUCAGUGGAGAUUAACACAUGUGAAUGUAAAUUUGUAUUUUUGCCAAAUAAAGAUUUUUUUGAUUA